CCCGCGCUCUACCAGGCAGAGCGCGUGCGGCCGCCGAGCACAUGGACCCGCUGGUCAAGCGGGCUCGGCAAGGCCAGGAUGAAGAGAAGCUGCGAACUUAGCACUCCCAGAGACCCCCGAGUGGAUAUCCGCGUGGAAAGGAUGUUGGCAGCCCCGGUGACCUCGGAGUCACGGCUGGAUCCACCCUCUUGUCUGAUUUUCUUAACUCGACCACGGUAAGAAGAUGCCCUCCAUCAGCGGGCUGUGCUUGCAGAUGUCGUGGGGCCUCUCUGGAGACUUCCCGAACCCUGUGGAUUUACAGUAAGAUGCAGUUUCCUGGGGAGUAAUUCUGGUGGAUACAAAUUCCGGAGUACUACACCUGGCUUGCCUGGAGAUGUUACAAGUAGUUGGUCGGAUUCUACAGCCUGGAUGCCCACUGAGAACAAGGACUGAAACUGAGAGGACUGUAUCUCUACCCUUGACUCAGUGGGAAUAUUUGCUGUCAUCUCUCGGGUUACCUGGAGCUCCCUCUAAAAUGUAAGCCCCCAAGACCCAUCUCCUUUCAACGCAGUGUUUCUGCAUACCCUUGAAGCGUUCCAGAAGGAUUUUGAGGUCCUUUCCUAAAUCAAAGGUGGAAUAUUUGGGGAUUUGGAAAAUUGAGCUCCUGUCUUAGUGCAUUUGGCCUGCUAUAAGGAAGUGUGACUAGGCUGUGUGGCUGUGGAACAACAGAGGUUGAUUUCCCCUGGUUCUGGAGGCUGAGCAUCCCCGACUGUGUGCCGCCGACGGCAUUAGUGUGUGGCAAGGGCCUGCUUUUUGGCUCAUGGCCCCCUGUCUUCCAGUUCUAACCUGAGGGAUGAGAUGAGAAGCAUUGACUUAAGAGAUGCCAAGUAACUCAGCAGAUGUCACACAGACGAUAAAUAGCAAAGAUGGAAGUCUUCAUGCCGGAGGCAAUCCUAUAAGACAGCUGAGUUCUCCAGAGCUGGUAGGAGACAGACUUGCUCAGGUGAUAGAUCCAGCCAUGAUACUGACCCUAAGAGAAUGAGACACUCUGCAGAAGACUUAGAAGAUUCCUGAGACUGGGAAAGGUGCCUAGAAAUCCUGAGAAGAGUGAAGAAGGGUACCUGGAGGCACAGCAGCCGUGUUGAACCUAUGAGGUGAUGAAAAACCAUGCAACUAGAAACCAGAAUGGAAGAAAAGAAGAAGCUGGAUCCUUGACUGAAUCAUAGAUGGGGGAUAGUCCAUCAUCCCAGGGCUAAGACCACCUCCAGAUUUCUUGUUUGGUGAAACAAUUCCUGAUUGUUUACAUUUCUUUAUGUUGAGCUGUCUCUUACUUGUAGCUGAAAGCAUUUCUAAUAGAUAUUCAGAUUAUCAGCCUUAGCUCCAAGCUAGAAUACUCUAUGGGACCUUAGCUUCUCCAUGAAUUCUUUUGCUCAUCUGUGUAGUGCUCAAUAAAUGUAAAUUGAACCCUGAAUGAGGGACAAUGACA